AUUUUGAACCAAGAGUCAUCUCCUGCCCCUGACUCCAGCCACCCAGUUCCCCUCCCUGGAAGCAAUGACAGUAACAGUUUAUGUCCUUCCAGAGAAAGAAUCUAAAUAUCCAUAACCAAAUGUGGUGUAAUAAAACAGAUAUAGAUUUGGUCUUUGUCCCUGGUUCCUGGCACAGAGCUCCUAAAACCCUUGGAGUCUCCUGAGUGACAGGGGUGUCUUUUGUUAUUUAUAAUGAGCCCCUUUCAACCACAGCUGAGUUUAUGCUAAUGAGGUGACUCAAGUAGGGCACCUACAGGGCUUCAGGGUGGGGGCUGGUCCCCACAAAGACCAAUCUAGAGGGGGGGAACUUUCAGCUCCCCCACCACCUCCAGGGAGGGGAGGGGGUCCCGGCUGGAGAUUUAGAGAGUUUCUGGGUUGGUGAACAGAGAUGUGCUGGGAGGGUGGCUCCCUGGAGAGGGCAAGGAUGCUCUGCGCUCCUCCCCCCAUGCCUUGCCCUGUGCACCUCUUCUAUUUGGCUGCUCCUAAAUUGCAUCCUGUAUCCUAAACUGGAAUAGUAAAUAAAGCACUUUCCUGAGUUCUGUGAGUCUUCUAGCAAAUUAUAAACCUGAGGAUGGGGUCGUGAGCACCCCCAAAUUUGUAGUUGGCCAGACAGGAGUGUGGGUCUGCUGGGCAUCCCAUUUGUGCUGGGGGUAUCUCAUGGGACUGAGCCGUUAACCUGGGAGUCUGCACUAACUCUGGGAAUUAGCAUCAGAAUUGAAGGGAAUUGUAGGCACCUAGUUGAUAUUGAGAGUUGGAGAAUUGGUGUGGAAAAAACACAUGUAUUUGGUAUCUGGAAAAAAACACAGUGGGUGUGAGAAGUGGUGUUAGAACAAAGACCACACCAGAUAUGCAUAUAUGUCCCACCCCCUUUUUUGAAAACUCAAAUGCAUCCUGUUGUGUAUUUAAUAUAUUUUGAAGAUGGGUCCUUAUCCAUACAUUCCUUUUGACAGCUGGAUAGUAUUCCUCUUUAAGGAUGCACCGCAAGGUAACUUGUUCCUUAUUGACGCCAUUUGUUUCCCGAAUUGUGCUAUUCCACUCAGUGCCACAGAGUGUCACUAAGACCUUUAAGGAAAUCCUUAUGCAAACAUGAAAAGAUAUCUGUAGAAUGAAUUCCUAGAUGGAUUGCUCAGCCAAAAGCCAAGUCAGAAUUGUCAUUUUGAUGAUCUUCACCAAAUGUCCCUCUCUAGAGGCGAUGCCCAUGUUGCACGCCCCCACCUCUAGCAGUGCAUGUAAACGUGGUUUUCCAGAACACUCACCAAUCAGUGAGGUACCAGAUUUUUUACCUUUGCCAAACUGAUAAAUGGAAAAUAGUCUCUUGCUGAAGUUUUAAUUUGCUUUUCUUUUGAGUGAGCUUAAGCAUUAUUCCAUGUUUAAGAGCUGUUUGUCUUCUCUGAACUGUCCUUGUCUUUGCCUGUUUCUCCACUGUUUUUGGUUUCUGAUUGACAAACAAGGGUUUGAAGGGAAAAUAGCCCUUCAAGAUGUAAAUUGUAUUUUCUUCAGUUUAUCAUUUUGACUUUGAUGGACAGAUUACAGAUUUUUUUAUUGAGGUCAUAAUAGUUUAUAACAUUGUGAAAUUUCAGUUGUACAUUAUUAUUUGUCAGUCACCAUAUAAAUGUGCCCCUUUACCCCUUAUGCCCACCUCCCAACCCCCUUCCCCUCUGAUAACCACUAAACUGUUCUCU
rnacentral:lncRNA from 1 species